rnacentral:snoRNA from 1 species
GAGCGUUGAUGAAUGCACGUUUGCUUUCUGACACCUCUUAUGUUAGCGGUCAUUUCCGGGCUGCAAUGAUUCCAAAUUGAAUUCUGAGCUC